GAUGAACGCUAGCUACAGGCUUAACACAUGCAAGUCGAGGGGAAACGAUAUUGGAAGCUUGCUUCCGAUAGGCGUCGACCGGCGCACGGGUGAGUAACGCGUAUCCAACCUGCCCACCACAUGGGGAUAACCUUGCGAAAGUAAGACUAAUACCCAAUGAUAUCUCUAGAAGACAUCUGAAGGCGAUUAAAGAUUUAUCGGUGAUGGAUGGGGAUGCGUCUGAUUAGCGUGUCGGCGGGGUAACGGCCCACCAAGGCGACGAUCAGUAGGGGUUCUGAGAGGAAGGCCCCCCACAUGGGAACUGAGACACGGUCCAAACUCCUACGGGAGGCAGCAGUGAGAAAUAUUGGUCAAUGGACGAGAGUCUGAACCAGCCAAGUAGCGUGCAGGAUGACGGCCCUAUGGGUUGUAAACUGCUUUUAUAAGGGAAUAAAGUGGGCCUCGUGGGGCUUUUUGCAUGUACCUUAUGAAUAAGGACCGGCUAAUUCCGUGCCAGCCGCCGCGGUAA
rnacentral:rRNA from 1 species